GACAUAGGUGGCGAACGUUAUCCGGAAUUACUGGGCGUAAAGCGUGCGCAGACGGUUGCGUAAGUCAGAUGUGAAAGCCCCGGGCUCAACCUGGGAAUUGCAUUUGAGACUGCGUAGCUAGGGUGCGGAAGAGGGAAGCGGAAUUUCCGGUGUAGCGGUGAAAUGCGUAGAUAUCGGAAGGAACACCAGUGGCGAAAGCGGCUUCCUGGUCCAGCACCGACGUUCAGGCACGAAAGCGUGGGGAGCAAACAGG
rnacentral:rRNA from 1 species